AGGUACCGUCACACACAUACCCUUACGAAUAUAUGUCGUUCGUCCCUACCUACAGGGGUUUACACACCAUAGUGCUUCAUCCCCCACGCGGCGUUGCUGCGUCAGAGUUGCCUCCAUUGCGCAAUAUUCCUCA
rnacentral:rRNA from 1 species